rnacentral:rRNA from 1 species
CCUACGGGGGGCAGCAGUGGGGAAUAUUGCACAAUGGGCGCAAGCCUGAUGCAGCCAUGCCGCGUGUGUGAAGAAGGCCUUCGGGUUGUAAAACACUUUCAGCGGGGAGGAAGGCGGUGAGGUUAAUAACCUCAUCGAUUGACGUUACCCGCAGAAGAAGCACCGGCUAACUCCGUGCCAGCAGCCGCGGUAAUACGGAGGGUGCAAGCGUUAAUCGGAAUUACUGGGCGUAAAGCGCACGCAGGCGGUCUAUCAAGUCGGAUGUGAAAUCCCCGGGCUCAACCUGGGAACUGCAUUCGAAAGUGGCAGGGUAGAGUGUUGUAGAGGGGGGUAGAAUUCCAGGUGUAGCGGUGAAAUGCGUAGAGAUCUGGAGGAAUACCGGUGGCGAAGGCGGCCCCCUGGACAAAGACUGACGCUCAGGUGCGAAAGCGUGGGGAGCAAACAGGAUUAGAUACCCUUGUAGUC